UUAGCAAGAACCUCUCUUCAUGUGACUUUUUGAAUUGCAGUCCUACCUACCACUGUGUGAGCUUGAUCUGUGCCUCAGUUAUCUCAUUUGCAAAAUGGAAUGUUACCUGAAGGCUGCCUCAUUGAGUCAUGUGAAUGAAAUGAGUUCAUCCAAGUUAAUACCCUACAAAAUGCUUAGACCUUUACCUGGUCCACACAAAGUGCUGCUCAGUAGUGGCCAGUUUUAUUGUUCUCAACUCUUGGCACUUUGGCACUCAAUUACUGGCCAUCUAUUUUAUCAAUCAACAUGAUCAUUUCCAAGUAUCUCUCAUACUUUAUGAGGGAUUUGCCUGAAUAACUCUCCACCCCCAGAAGUCCCACCCAUUAUUUCUUUGAACCCCCAAUGAGUUGAGCAGCCAAUGUAUCAAAUGUCUUUCCCUGCUACUCUCUUCCAGGUGGGAAGGAACAGUCUAGAAGAUUACUUGAAUCAGGAUUGAGUGAGUCCCCUCAUUCCAGCCCUACAACUAUGGGAGUUUAGAUAAACAAUUUAUAGACUCCCUUCCACUGCUGCUUCCUGGACUGUUGAACUGGGCACAAUGCCCUCUUAAUGAUACUGAUUUAAAGAAAAACAAUAACAAACUUUUUUUUAAUUUUAAAGAGAAUAAGACAACAAAACAAAACAAUGGAAACGAUAUUGGAUUUCAAAAACAAGGCAGUAGGAAAUCAACCAUGGUUACUGUAAUGCACACUGCUAUCCUCUAAACAGAUGCUCAGACCACCACACACAGGCAUGCAGAGUAAGCACCAAGUUGUCUCUUUACUUCAGCUGCCAUCACCUCAGAAAUUUCAGGCUGUCCUUUGUCAAUGUUAAAAUGAGGGAGUUCGAAUGUGACCAGCAAGAGUGAUGCAGAAAAGAUCGUGUUCCGUACCUCUGCACAGCCACGAGCCACCAGAGGAUGCAGGGGAAGGGAUCAGAAGCAGAGGGCUGUGCUGCAGCACAGCCUGCUUUGGGCAGCAGUGAUCUGUAGAAUCAUGGAACAAAUUAAAUUCGUAAACUGAGGUACCACCACACACAUAAGCAAGUAUCAGUCAUCCUGAUUGCAAGCAUUCAGUGUCUGCUGGCACCUUGGAUGCUUCCCUUGCAAACACACUUACCGGUAC